GCCCAAUUGUUUUCCUUAAAUAUACCCCAAACUCUCUGCCUCAAAAAAUGAAGAAACCCUAGAUGCCAUCACAUCUCUCCAAAAAUGAAUAAUGUCGUUCUCUUUGUUCUUCAUACAGUUACAUAACCUGUUCGUUGCAAGUGUGAAUGAAAUUUUAACCUAGUCUUCAGAUCCAAUUAGUGGCACCAUAGUGAGGAAUAGAAAAGUAAGUCUUCUAUAGGCGUUGAGAUUGCAAGUGUUAGAGCCAACUGAAGACAUUCUUGAUUCACUUUUAUUUUCAUUUGAUUUCAUCUAUUUCUUACUAAAGUUAUAUUCUUUUGCAGUAGCUUCCGAGAUCGCUCAUCUUCUAUUUCCAGGUAAGCUCUACUUUUUUUAGCUUACAGUGUCAAAUAUUGUUAUUUUCCUUUGAGAUUUGUGUGGUUAGAUUCUUUUUCUUCUUCUUUUUUGAGAGAUAAAAUAAGAUUGGUUGUCUAAAUUGAGAUAAUUUGGUUGUCUAAUUUGGUUAUCUGGAAUUUCUUUUGAAGAAAAUAUUGUAUCAUUAUCUUUCUUUUGAGAAGAGAUAGAUUGCAAAAUAAAUUAAUUAAAUGAACUGAAAAUCGAACUGGGAAACUCUUGUACUUGCAUAUAAAUUUGAUUCACUUCAAUUAGAUUGAUCUACAGUUGCACACGGGGUCAUUUGCACUUUUUCCCUUAUUUUGUGCUCGCCUUUAAUUUGUUUAGUGCCUAGUUUAUAUUAUCAUAAUAUUCCACAAGUCUUGCACUUAAAUGAGUUGCUAAUACAUGAGUUGCUAGAGGGAAAAACAUACAAUUUUAUAUUGUACACUAUCACAAAGAUGGUAGUUUAUCUGCUACUUAGAAUUAAGCCUGCAUUUAAAAAAAAUAUUUUGUUUGGUCACUGAAUGUUGUUGAUAGAUAGAUAUAUAGAUAGAGAAUAUGAGACUAGGAUGAUAGUGUCUUCCCUUCUUCUUUUAAGCAACUCAAUAUGGCAAGAAAAUAAAGGGACUGUAUCUUGGUGGGGCAGUCUGGAUGGCUUGUGAUUUUGUGUCAUUUCGUGAUUUUUUUUUCUUUUACUUGGGUUUGAUGAACUUGAACCGACGGUCUUUUCUGAACGGCCUCUCCACCUCCCUGAAGGUAGUGGUAAGGUCUGCGUACACUCUACCCUCCAAGGCCCCCACUUUGUGGGAUUCCAUUGGGUAUGUUGUUGUUGUUGUUGUUGUUGUUGUUUUUGAUAUAUAAUUAUUUGAACUGACAUUUUUGGAUUUAAAUUUGGUGGGUCCAAGUUUUACUUUACUAAGAUCUUGCUAUGGAGGGUUGCUUUUAAUUGGGAUCUCCAAUUUUGUAAUUAGUUUCCAUUGUUUCAUGAGGAUUUAAUCUUUACAUGUUUUGGGCUUUAAUCAUUUAUUGUGGCCACUAUAUAAUAAUAUUAUGUAUUUGGUGCAUUUGUUGAUAUGUGUGCUUAAGCUCAAGGCAAUCAAACAUUUACUUUAAAAUUAUUGGACCAGUGGUAUUGAGUUAUAACUAAAUUUUGUGAUAACGAGACAUGAUACUUGUACUAGCUAGUAUUAGACUAUAUAGAUGUUCCUAAUUGUUUUGUUAAAUAAUUCUGAUAAAUAGAACUGCCUUAUUGUUAUUCUUUUGCAAGCCAUAUCCACCAUGAACUAAUGGAGUAAUUUAGUUAAAGUUACUAUAGGAGAGUAUGUGGAAAAGAAAGGAAAUAUUACUUUUGUUAUGAUAAGCGUAUGAAUUUGUGCAAUAACAAAAAUUAUGAGGACUUCGUUGAUGUUUGUCAUGAAUAUGCUCCUCUUUUAACUUCGUUUUGGUGAUAGUAUGAAUGAAUCUUAAUUUCAUCUAAUCUUUUCAUUCAAGAACUUGCCUGAAUCUUUGAAAUUUGUUUGACAUCUUAGAUACAAGGUAAACUUUUUAUAUUUUGAAAUGAUUUUGCAGACUUGUUCGAGUUAUGAUUAUUGAACACCAGAUUUUGGCUAAAUAAAAAUAAGUACAAGCAGCAUGAUACAAUAUAAUGUUAAAGACAUAUCUGUAAUGAUUUAUAAAACCAUUUUAUUUUUACAAAAGAAAAAGAGGGAAUGACGCUAUUGUUUAUGAUAUCCUUCAAGUGUGUAUGAAGGACUAUACUAAGACUCUUAUGAAAAUAACGCUGACCUUGUUAAGAGCUUAAAAUUCUCCUAAGUUUUGCUUUUAUAUGUGCCUUGAAUUUCUUUGUCCAUCAUCUUUUAGAGAAUAACUUUGAGAGACAACUAACCAUGAUGUAAGUAUUUUAUCAUAAAAUAUUUUCACUUUCUUAAGUUUUUUUGUGUAAAUGUAUAUGACAGGCUUAUACCGAAGGAAAGGUCGUCGUGUUUGCUCGAGUAGCUGGGCACAUAAAAUAUUAAUAUGCCAGUGUAUAUCAUCUUAAAACUUAGCUGAUAGAAGUGAGCUUGAUUAUUAUUUUUGAGUUUUUCCUAUAUCUCCCUAGAUUAGGUAAUGUAAAACUUUUCUUGGUUUGGUUUGUGUUUUCUAGAUCUCUAGUCUAAUAAUUUAUCAUUGUAGUGUUAGUAUAUGAUUUUAUAGAUAACAUACUGUAGUGCCAUCACCCUAUGUGACUUUAAAAUUUGAGUAAUUUAGAACAAUUAUAUCAUGUCAGAGUGUAAUUUAGAGCAAUCUUUGCAUGUUUUGAUUUCCAUUUGAAAACAUCUGAUUCAAUGUUCUUGAUUCAGAAAAUUGGAUCAUUAAAUAUUCUGCUUUAUCGUCGUAAUAUUUAGCUGAUAAGAGUGAGUUGUAAUUUUCUAUUUGUCCUGUUUUUGCUUAGACUAGGUAGUGUGAAAAGUUUCUUUGGUUUGUGUCUUCUGAAGCUCUAGUUUAGGUGUUUUCUAAUUGUGAUGUAUAAAAUGGAGAUGUCAAUCAUGGUGUUACUAUGUGAUUUGCAGAUAAUUAAUUGAAGUAAGCUAGUGUAAGUCAGCAUCUAAAUUUAUCAAUACAUAUAUUGUAGAGAGAUUUGUGAUUAAUUUUGUUGAAGAAUUUUGUGAUUAAUUUUGUUGAAGAAUUUUGUGAUUAAUGUUGACCAUUAAUAUUAGGGUAUUUUUGGAAAGAAUGGAUCUACAUGAUCCAUAUAGUUGGGAAAAGCAUGAAAUAUACAGUGAUAGGGUGUACCUUUUUUAUCACUUGCCACUAAGAUGGAGGAUGAAAUUAGUGUGUAUCUUGUUCUUGUUAGAGGGUGUUUUAUGUUUACAUUUGUACAAUAUACAAUAAAGUUAGAAACUGACGAUUUGGGAUGUCAUACUUCUUUUAUAAUCAACAAUCAAGUUUGUAUAGAAAUUGACUAUUUAGUAUAAUUUUUGUUAUUUGUAAUAUAUUAUAUGUAAAUGACUGAAUGCAUUUAAUAAGAGAAGUUAUCAUUUGGUUCUUAUAUGGAAUAUAAUAGAACUGUCACAACGGGACUGUGAAAUAGUUAAAUGGGAAUUAGCCAAGGG
rnacentral:lncRNA from 1 species